CGCCGCUGGUUGGGAUGGGGCAGGGCGCCGCCGGCAGCCGAUGGAAAACGAUUCACGGCUGAGCAGAUUCAAUUCUACUGUGUAAUAUUAUUGUGUGUUCUAAUUCUCACGAUUUUUACAGCUCUGAUCAUCGAGUAGAACUGUAGAAGGAAAUAGCUGCCUCAAAUUCAAAUUCUCAAUGUUGUUUCUAAGUGGCGCAACCAUCCUCUUCUCACCAUCUACAAAUUGAAUAUUGCAGAAAAGGCAGUGGCGUCAAUUGCUCUGGAAACCAUCCACGAUUUGCUACUGGAAGAGGGAAAGUUUUUAGCUGGUGUGGCCGAUCAAGUCAAGGAGCUCGAAUGGCAGCUUAACGAGAUGAAGUGUUUUCUCGAAGACGCUGAUAAAAGAUGACAUGAAAGCAGAACAAUCUCCAAUUGGAUCUCAGAGACCAGAGACCUCGUCUGUAGAUCCGAAUCCGCCAUUGAAAGACACACAGCUUAUCAAGUUUCUUCAAGGAGAGGAGGCCUCACACAGUUCGUCCGCAGAUAUUCCUGCAUUCUGACAGAUUGCAACUCACUCCCUCAAUUAGGCUCCGAGAUUUCACAAAUUACAUCAAGUCUGGAGAGGAUAAGCAAGGAUAUGCAAGAAAACGGCAUAAAAAGAAGCAUAAUCAUCAAUCCAAAUGGAGAGGGGGAAAGACACAGAGGAUCGGAUUAUUUCAGUGUGGGGAAUGGGAGGGUCAGGCAAGACUGCCAUUGUCAAGAAGCUCUACAACGAGACGACCACCUUUGAUCUCUCAGCGUGGGUUUGCAUUAGUCAACGAUGCGAGAGUCGAUUAGUUUGGGAGGAUGUUCUGAGGCAACUAGAGAAUCAGAAGAAGAAGAAUAUUAUUUCAAGUGUGAACGGUGAGCCACGAAUAAAGGGGAAGGUUUCAAGUCUGAGCAUCUCAGAGUUGAUUGAGAGACUAUGUGAGUUACAAAGAGAGAAGCGAUGUCUCAUAGUUUUGGAUGAUGGACAAAAUGAAGAAUCUCCGAUAUUUUGUAGAAAGAAUACUCGAUGAAGUAAGCUUGACAGUUAUAAUGAAUGCCAUUACAAACUGGAACAAGAUAGUGGAUUGUCAGGUUUCUAUAGAAGCUAGUUGCGAUUUAACAAGUGAGCAAACUCUGGAGAAGGCUUUCACAUGUCCCAAUCUUCAUGCAUUGGUGACUUGGUCCAAGUUAGGGAAGGCGCUACCAGAGUGCUGGAGUAACUUGAAAACAGUGUUCUUCGCCUCAAGAGGCUAACUUUAAGAGGUUUGCCAAAGUUGAGGGAGUGGAGAGUGGAGGGAGGAGCCAUGCCCCUUCUCUCUCUAUUAAGGAUCGCAGAGUGUUCUUCUUUGGAGAUGGUCCCAGAGGGAUUGAGUAGCAUUUCUACCCUUCAGACACUCGUAAUUGAAGGAAUGCCAGAAUUGAGUGAAAGGUUAUCACCAUCUCGACAGGAUUUCCACAAAGUUCGCCAUGUCCCUUCAAUUCUUAUCGAGGACCACUCUUCACCCAGGUAUCUCAUUUCUCACAUUUUCAUUCUUCAGUUUUGGCUUGUUUUCCUUAGUUGCAAAAAAUCGUAACAAAUGAGUGAGAGGAAAAAGAUUGAUUUUUGUAUAAUCAUAUUUUGGUGGUCCUCAUUGCUUUUAUCUCAUGUUCUUUAUGGUGGAAAAUAUGAAAAAGUGAGCUAAAAAUACUAGUAUUGCGUUAAUAUUACAUGAUAAUGUUACUCCUCCUAUUAUGUAGUAGGAGUACUAUUAAAGUGAUAAAAGGGAAAAUGAGCUUCCCUGGAAAAGUUUCUGUUAUGUUCAGGGAUAAUUAUCCAUCCAAUAGAACUUGUGAAAAGAGAGUGAAAGUAUACGUAUAUUCCAUCAUAUUCCAUCAAAAGUAGUAUUUGAUUCAUAUUUUAUAUUGAUUUAUUUGUUAAUUCUUUUAUCCUGUUAAGUUAGGGAUAUUUAUUAUUAUAACUCUUUGAAAAAAAAUCCAUAAAUCUAAAACACAUCUUUAUCUCAUUCUGCUAUUUUUCUUGCCUUCAAUUCACAACCAUCGUAUCUCAGAAAAUAUUGAAACUGUGGUCUGUAUUUGCGCACUUAUAUUUCUAUAAAGUUUAAUUUUUAAAGUACUACUUUUAUAAGUGUUUGUUAUAAGUGCUCCGAGAUAAAACAAAGUACCUUCUGGCUGAGGUAUUUGAAACCUGAACUUCAGACUUUGGAUUAUUAAGGAAUUGUUCUACUGGACCCCAGCUAUAAGGAAAAGUAAGUGAUGCGAAUCAAAUUGUAUAUUUUUAUUCUCAUAACUCUACAUGAUUUAUGUAAUUUGAUGCUUGCAAAAGUAUAUUUUAUGGUGUAGGAAGAGGAAUUAAUGGUGAAACGAAACGUGGAAUGAAGCUUGGAUGUCAUUGAAAAAGUUGUGCAAAAUGCCCAACUUGACAGACUGCCCAAGUUGGCAGACUGCCCAUGUUGGCAGACUGCCCAAGUUGACAGACUGCCCAGUCUGCGUCAUGAGUUCAGAAACCUCUCAAAAUGAGGCACCCGGCCGGGUGAAUUUUAUGCCUAAUAAUUAUACCCGGCCGGGUACGAUGUUCAGAACACGAAAAUUCCAGAGAGCCCUCAAAAUUGGCCACCCGGCCGGGUGAAUUUAAUGCCCAAUAAUCCACCCGGCCGGGUACGAAGACGAAUUAACCUCCAAAUUCAGUUUUCAUAUAGUUUGGAGGCGGUUUUUGAGAGAGGGAGGAGACAUUCUUGGAAGAGAGAAAAGAGGAGUGGAGACUUGGAGAAGAUAGUGUUGAAAGGAAAAGUGACGUGUUGCUAUUGAAGACCAAUUGAGAGAAUUUUUCAAGUCAAACCUGCUAUUUCUUCAAAGUUCCAUGGUUCAAAGGAUUUUUCUUCCAUCUCUUGUUUCUCCUAGUUUGAUUAUGAGUGGCUAAAAAUCUUGUGUUGCUCCAAACAUGUAAAUGGAUAAUUUGUUCGUGUGAUUUAUGCUAUGUUCUUCUUUAUCUUA